rnacentral:rRNA from 1 species
GACGAACGCUGGCGGCGUGCCUAAUACAUGCAAGUAGAACGCUGAAGGAGGAGCUUGCUUCUCUGGAUGAGUUGCGAACGGGUGAGUAACGCGUAGGUAACCUGCCUGGUAGCGGGGGAUAACUAUUGGAAACGAUAGCUAAUACCGCAUAAUAGUAGAUGUCGCAUGACAUUUGCUUAAAAGGUGCAAUUGCAUCACUACCAGAUGGACCUGCGUUGUAUUAGCUAGUUGGUGAGGUAACGGCUCACCAAGGCAACGAUACAUAGCCGACCUGAGAGGGUGAUCGGCCACACUGGGACUGAGACACGGCCCAGACUCCUACGGGAGGCAGCAGGAGGGAAUCUUCGGCAAUGGACGGAAGUCUGACCGAGCAACGCCGCGGGAGUGAAGAAGGGUUUCGGAUCGUAAAGCUCUGUUGUAAGAGAAGAACGAGUGUGAGAGUGGAAAGUUCACACUGUGACGGUAUCUGACCAGAAAGGGACGGCUAACUACGUG